AUUGAACGCUGGCGGCAGGCCUAACACAUGCAAGUCGAGCGGAUGAGGAGUGCUUGCACUCCGAUUCAGCGGCGGACGGGUGAGUAAUGCCUAGGAAUCUGCCUGGUAGUGGGGGACAACGUUUCGAAAGGAACGCUAAUACCGCAUACGUCCUACGGGAGAAAGUGGGGGAUCUUCGGACCUCACGCUAUCAGAUGAGCCUAGGUCGGAUUAGCUAGUUGGUGAGGUAAAGGCUCACCAAGGCGACGAUCCGUAACUGGUCUGAGAGGAUGAUCAGUCACACUGGAACUGAGACACGGUCCAGACUCCUACGGGAGGCAGCAGUGGGGAAUAUUGGACAAUGGGCGAAAGCCUGAUCCAGCCAUGCCGCGUGUGUGAAGAAGGUCUUCGGAUUGUAAAGCACUUUAAGUUGGGAGGAAGGGCUGUAGGCUAAUAUCCUGCAGUUUUGACGUUACCGACAGAAUAAGCACCGGCUAACUUCGUGCCAGCAGCCGCAGUAA
rnacentral:rRNA from 1 species